ACAAUGCAUUGAGGGAGGAUUUGAAAUCUUUCAUGAGUACAUUCAUAAAGGAGAAAGGGAAGGAGGUCUCUACUACGGAUAAAUUGGAUCGAGUCUCUGUUGAUAACAAUGCAUUGAGGAAGGAUUUGAGAUCUUUUGUGAGUAAAUUUGUAAGGGAAAAAGGCAAGGAGGUCUUUACUAAGGAUAUUGGAGUUAGGGGAGCCGAAAGUAGUGGUUGCUAAUAUUUCCAAAGGAUCCGGCUAAGCCACAAAUGAAAGAUUAAAGCAAUAUUGAUAAUAUUGCUA
rnacentral:misc_RNA from 1 species